rnacentral:rRNA from 1 species
UACGUAGGACCCAAGCGUUAUCCGGAUUGACUGGGCGUAAAGAGUUGCGUAGGUGGUUAUGCAAGCGAAUAGUGAAAUCUUGUGGCUCAACCAUAAGGCUAUUAUUCGAACUGCAUAACUCGAGAGUAGGAGAGGCAUCUGGAAUUUCCAAUGUAGGGGUAAUAUCCGUAGAUAUUGGGAGGAACACCAAUGGCGUAAGCAGGAUGCUGGACUAUUUCUGACACUAAGGCACGAAAGCGUGGGGAGCGAACCGG